GUACAUAUAGCUCAGUGGUAGCCCACAUGCCUAGCAUGCAUGAGGUCCUGGGUUCAAUCCCCAGUACCUCCA
rnacentral:tRNA from 1 species